rnacentral:rRNA from 1 species
GUGCGUAGGCGGUCGGCCAAGUCGGAUGUGAAAUCUCCGGGCUCAACCCGGAAACUGCAUCGGAUACUGGUUGGCUAGAGGAUUGGAGGGGGGACUGGAAUUCUCGGUGUAGCAGUGAAAUGCGUAGAUAUCGAGAGGAACACCAGUGGCGAAGGCGAGUCCCUGGACAAUUCCUGACGCUGAGGCACGAAAGCUAGGGGAGCAAACA